rnacentral:rRNA from 1 species
CGCCUGUUUUUACAAAAACAUUUCUUUCUAAUUAAGAAGGUAUGACCUGCUCACUGAGGGGUUAAAGAGCCGCAGUAUUUUGACUGUGCUAAGGUAGCAUAAUCAUUUGUCUUUUAAUUGAGGACUGGUAUGAAUGGUUUAACGAGAAAUAGUCUUUUUUUUCUAUAAUAAUUUAAUUUAAAUUUUUAGUGAAAAUGCUAAAAUGAAUCAGAAAGACGAGAAGACCCCUUAGAGUUUUAUAUUAAAUUUGUUUUUAUUUAGUUUAUUUAAAAAAUAGAGAAGGAUAUAAAUAUUUAGUUGGGGCGACAUUAAGAUAAAAUUAACUCUUUUUUUUAUAUACCUAUAUAUAGGAAUUUAAUGAUCCUUUGAAAGAGAUUAAAAGAAAAAAUUACCUAGGGGAUAACAGCGUAAUCUUUUUUAAGAGUUCUAAUCGACAAAAAGGUUUGCGACCUCGAUGUUGGACUAAAAUUAAGGCAUGGUGCAGUAGCUAUGUUUAAAGGUCUGUUCGACCUUUAGAAUUUUACAUGAUCUGAGUUCAGACCGGCGUGAGCCAGGUGGUUUUUCUAUCUAA